UACUUCAUUGAAAUGUUCCUUCACUAGUGAACCAGAGUAUUCUAGAAAACCUGCCAGAGUGAGGCCAUUUUAUUUUAGGCUUGUGCCCACAGCACUUCUGAACAUGC
ensembl:snoRNA Gm24634 predicted gene, 24634